rnacentral:rRNA from 1 species
GGUCAGGAUGAACGCUAGCGGCAGGCUUAACACAUGCAAGUCGAGGGGCAACGCGAGUAGCAAUACUCGGCGGCGACCGGCGCAAGGGUGCGUAACGCGUGAGCAACAUGCCCGUAUCAGGGGGAUAAUCCAGGGAAACUUGGUCUAAUACCCCAUAGUAAUUUUGUAAGGCAUCUUAUAAGAUUUAAAGCUUUGGUGGAUACGGAUUGGCUCGCGUGACAUUAGCUGGAUGGUAAGGUAACGGCUUACCAUGGCUAUGAUGUCUAGGGGUUCUGAGAGGAAGGUCCCCCACACUGGAACUGAGACACGGUCCAGACUCCUACGGGAGGCAGCAGUGAGGAAUAUUGGACGAUGGAUGGAAAUCUGAUCCAGCCAUGCCGCGUGAAGGAAAGAAGGUCCUAUGGAUUGUAAACUUCUUUUGUAUGGGAGCAAUAAGGCCUACGAGUAGGUUGAUGAGAGUACCAUACGAAUAAGCACCGGCUAACUCCGUGCCAGCCGCUGC